GCCUUCAAUCAGCAUAGAGCUGGUAGAGCAUUGUGCUAACAACGCAAAGGUUGUGGGUUCAAAUCCCAGGGAAAGCA